AACUUUCCACACAACAUAAUUAUUAUGUUCCAGAGUUUUCCUUUAUCUCUACCCACACUAUGCUGUUUCAUCUCCUUCUUUUACUCCUUACAAAAAAAAUCUCCUUAACUAUUUCCCCUUAAUUCUCCAUCUACCCUGUUUGAUAAGUGUGUGAUUCCAUUCACAUUUAAUUCCGCCGAAUAUAUGUAGAUUUUCCCCAUUCUUUCCCUCUGCAGCAGCCCAAUCAAACCCUAUAAUUUUGCCGUUUUAACUCCUUGCAGCCAUGCCUCUAUCUCUCUACCAGAGAUGAGGUUUCGGAAACAUAAACCACCAUUAAUGUGGAUAGCUCCUUUAUUCGAAUUACAGAUGGCGCCAUCCCCCACCCCACCUCUCUUCUCCUAUUUAAGGUCCAUCAGGUUAUUUGUACAGUUUGACAAGAAUUCUGCUGUUACAGAUUCCAUUCCUUAAUGUCGUUGUGGAUGGUGUUUUCCUUCUAAGUGUCGGUGUGGUGUUGUUGCUACCGUAUCGGUUUCCUGUUGACAUGGCGAGUGAAAUAAUGUUUGAUUAAGGUUCCCUAUUCUACACAUUCACAGGAAUACAUUCCUACAUUUCUAAGUUAGUAAUUGGAAUAUCUAACUCUUUUUGUGAAAGAGGAAAAGAUUACAGAUAGAGGCUCUCAAUUGGCAAGUACAAGCUGGAUCAUCUGCUAUCUGGAUUUUACUAUGGGUACAAGAUGGAUCUUCUGCUGAAAUUUUCUUGAUGGCCUCUAUUUCCUGGUGUAUAUAUGGUUAAGUAGAGAGUGAAACGAUUAGUAUUUCAUUUAUACUCAUCUUAAUUGUUUUUCCCCUUCUAUGAGUUCUAUGAGAUUGUGUAUGAUUAAUAUUAAAAUAGAAUGAUGACUUCAGUUGAGCUUCA